rnacentral:rRNA from 1 species
AUACGGAGGGUGCAAGCGUUAAUCGGAAUUACUGGGCGUAAAGGGCGCGUAGGCGGUCUAUCAAGUCAGGUGUGAAAUCCCACGGCUCAACCGUGGAGGUGCAUCUGAAACUGAUAGACUUGAGUAUGGGAGAGGAAAGUGGAAUUCCCGGUGUAGAGGUGAAAUUCGUAGAUAUCGGGAGGAACACCAGUGGCGAAGGCGACUUUCUGGACCAAUACUGACGCUGAGGCGCGAAAGCGUGGGGAGCAAACAGGAUUAGAAACCCCGGUAGUCC